UAAUAUUAGUAGGAUUGGGCUGAUUUUACAGUCACGCUGACUGUCGGCGCUGAUAGUUGAAUAUGCAUCAUUGCAAUGUAGCGUUUUGUGGUUACACUGAUAGGUCAGUGCUGAUCA